rnacentral:rRNA from 1 species
AUCCUGGCUCAGGAUGAACGCUGGCGGCGUGCUUAACACAUGCAAGUCGAGCGAAGCACUUGGAACGGAUCCUUCGGGUGAAGUUCCAUUUGACUGAGCGGCGGACGGGUGAGUAACGCGUGGGUAACCUGCCUCAUACAGGGGAAUAACAGUUUGAAAAGACUGCUAAUGCCGCAUAAGCGCACAGGGCCGCAUGGCCCGGUGUGAAAAACUCCGGUGGUAUGAGAUGGACCCGCGUCUGAUUAGCUAGUUGGUGAGGUAACGGCCCACCAAGGCGACGAUCAGUAGCCGACCUGAGAGGGUGACCGGCCACAUUGGGACUGAGACACGGCCCAAACUCCUACGGGAGGCAGCAGUGGGGAAUAUUGCACAAUGGGGGAAACCCUGAUGCAGCGACGCCGCGUGGAUGAAGAAGUAUUUCGGUAUGUAAAGUCCUAUCAGCAGGGAAGAAAAUGACAGUACCUGACUAAGAAGCCCCGGCUAACUACGUGCCAGCAGCCGC